UACGUAGGGUGCAAGCGUUGUCCGGAAUUAUUGGGCGUAAAGAGCUCGUAGGCGGUCUGUCGCGUCGGCUGUGAAAACUCGGGGCUCAACCCCGAGCCUGCAGUCGAUACGGGCAGACUAGAGUGCGGUAGGGGAGACUGGAAUUCCUGGUGUAGCGGUGAAAUGCGCAGAUAUCAGGAGGAACACCGAUGGCGAAGGCAGAUCUCUGGGCCGUAACUGACGCUGAGGAGCGAAAGCGUGGGGAGCGAACAGG
rnacentral:rRNA from 1 species